ensembl:lncRNA
GGAAAGUAAUGUUGCAAACAGGCCAGCAAACACCCUAACUGAAUAAGAACACUUCCUGGGAGGAUCUUAAGAGAGAGAACCGAAGGGGACUGAAAGUCUCCCUGAAGCUGUGAUUCACCAUUGCGCUGGCACUGUUGGCUCUGCCUGCUUAAACAGUUCCGUUCUCAAGCCUAGCUGCUGCUUCCCAGCUUUGCUGUGCCUCUCACUUAUGCCAGCCAAGCUCUGUUUGGGACCAAGCUGGAACAUGGCUCCGUGUCUUUUUAGGACGUUACCCAAAUACGCCUGGCAUCACACCAUUCUGUUUUCUUCAAAGUGGUGGAUUAUGCUGAAAUAAAUUUGUAAAUUCCACAGAUGUCAGCACUGUGUCCGCUGAGGCUAGUCAGAUCCUUACAGUGAGGAAAUAGUCUUGUCCUUCCUAAAAUGGGGAUACUUUGCAAAUAAACAAGGGAUACAUUUCCAUUAGAUUGUGCCAUUGUAGGCAGUUCGACACACGGGUGAAUGACUUUGAUUGUUUUCAGUAGAAAGAAGUUAUGCACAUACACACUCAAGUGAGAAUGACAUUGUUCCUUCUGUGUUUUGUGAAAUGACAGUUACUGAGAGGAUAAACCCAGAAGAAUGGCUAUGGAUAAAUCUGUAUCUGAAUUAUCAAUGAAGAGUUUAUCUCCUUCUCUCAUUUCAUAGACCAUUGACUGGUAUUCCCAUGCAACCAUAUUUUAAUAGAAAAGCAAAAAUUUCCUCCUAGGCAAAGAAAAAAUAAAUGAAAAAAUGAUUUCCUUGUUCAGAUCAUCUGGAGUAGGGAAAUCAUUUGGGACUGUUUAUCCAACAAAAGAAACAGGGGAACCAAUGGGGGAAAAUGCCUUAUGGCUCAGGAGAUGCAUCACACCCUGUUUGGCGAAAUGCUUUCUGUAUAUAUGGGACCUCAGCUGUUAUUUUCUGUGGCUGUCAUACUGAAAUGCUUGCCUUUAUAACAGCCAACUGUAUUGUUGUCACUUAGUGGAACUUCUGUGUAUAUCAGUGUUGCUGGAUGUCUUUCCUCCUGAAUUCUUCUGUGAUUGAAACUGAGUAACCGUGUAUGACUUAUCCCUGAGUGACAGAUGCCACCCAUCUAACUGCAUCCUGCAGCACUGAGACAGCCUUUCACCAGCUGUGGGGGUACCUAUGGCAGGUACUGCCAGAAAUCCCCCUUUUCUUUAGAUCUUUCAGUCGCAGCAAGCUGAUGUCUGGUUACAUCUGUUGUGGUGCACUGACUUUUUUUUUCCUCUUUCUUAAAUUAAAUUGUUUCUUCCAGCACCUGCAGAAAUAAUCGCUGAGCGUGUGUCUGAAAGCAGGUUGGCAUCAAAUCUAUAGGGGAUUUCCAUUUAUGAGCAGUGAUCAGCCCCAGGAUUGAGGUCUACAGAAUGAAUUCUGCAUUCUGCUGUGAUAGCUACUGUAAAUAGAGCUGCAUAAAACCAGCAGUCCAUGUUAUGAGACAGACACUGACGUGAUCUCUUACUGUUAUAUGCAUCCCCAUCAUUUUGCAAAUGAGAAGAUAGCUCUGUAUGAUGUGUCUUUGAUUCUACCAUGACAUCCUUCAGCAUUGUAUCUGAGCAGAAAUGAUUCAUUUCACUUGUCAUUGUAGUUAAGCCCCCUCUGGAGCUGCAGAAAAAAAUACAUCUAUUAAAAAGUCACUGUU